CGCGGUCGCCCCAGCCGCCCGGCAGCCGCCGACCCCCGGCCGGGCCCUGGACUCGCCGCGGUAGUGCCUUCCCAAACAGAGCUGCUGGAAUUACAAUCUUUUGUUGAGCCUCAUGUAACGGAAAAGUCUCCGAUUACUAUCACUUGAAAAGGCUAGCGCGCCCACGGGACGGCCUGGAGAGUGAAGAGCCCCAAGGGUCCCGGGCCCGCGCGGCUCAUUCACUCUCUAGCGUCUGCUGAGGUAACGCGGCCCGCACCUGGGCGCGCGCGACUGCCCCAGUGCGCUGGCGCCAACCACGCGGCGGCGGCCCGGCGAGCCACCGGGAAGAAGUCAGACAAAGUCACUCUCAGGGCGCUGUGCAGCGCCACAGCCAGGGGAGGUGUAAGUUCGGGCUCAGUGAAGAAUCUCGGCUGACUUACGCUGCCAUCAGGGGAUAUGAAGGCGGUGGUUUCCUGGAAUAACACGGGCCUAUGAUAGGAAUUCGACGCAAGGAAGAUUUAUGGGAGCACCGAUUUGCAAGGCAUUGUGGGAAAAAGGUACACAGGCAGACAACAAAUUACACUUUUGGCAUUUCCAGUUUGGAGCCCUACAGCAAUACUCACUGAAGAAGGUUGCACAUAAUAUGAUGGCAGUAGAGCUGGGACGAACGUAGCCACACUCAAUCCUGUGAAGCCAACACUGAAUGAACCAGGCAGAGUGAACACAUGCAAGUAUUAGAAAGUAUUUAAUGUGUGCAAGGCACACUGCCAGGUGUUUUAGAAGAUUCAGAAGUGACCAGGAGUGUUGCUAGCCAAAGGAAAUGGGACAAAUGUGCAAACAGUAAAGUACCAAAAGAAUAUAGUAAGGGCCAGGGGAGGACAGCUCUAAGAAUUCAGAGGACAAGGAGGACACAUCUGCCUUUUGGAGAAAGCUGUCUCAACAAAGAGGAACAGAGCACUAAAGCUAAAUAACCCCCAUGAAGGACCAACCCUCUUCCGGAAAAAAGGCUUAAAUUACACAUCAGUUAAAACGACGACAACAUUCUCCUCCACUUGUGCUCUACAGUGAGGGGCAGAUGAAUGGCCUUUGGCUGUUGCAGCAAAAUAGAGGUAAUCUACGUAUAAACUACUACAAUUUUAACAUUCCAUUCCCUAUCUUGCUUGGUCACUAUAGUCACCUAAUACUCUGUAUGUCCUUGUCACAAUACAGUUCUCCAGGAAAACUGUGGCCAACGUUUGGAAAAAUUAACCAUGAAAUUCUCAAACUUCAACUGCUAACAUGUACUCCAGGCUAAUGAUGACAGAGAAUAACACAGGCAAACUGCAGGCCAACCUUGGGGAGAUAGUUUCUUUAGAGAUGCCCUCUACUGAGUGCCCCUGAUAUCCAAGGAACAUGGAAGGCAGUCCCCAAAUGAAGAGCAAUUGUAUUCCUUUAAUUCAGUCAUAAAUCAACUCUCAAUUCUAUGAGAUUUUUCACAGAAGAACGGAGCGCCUCAAAAGUGGAUCAAGGCAGAAAUGGAUGUGGAAAUUAUCAUCCUGUACCUUUGAGGUAAAGAGGCUUCUACAGCUCUGGCAUGAGCUACCACAGGUCAUAACCAUUAGGAAAGAAACUGGAAUGUUACCAUGCCAGGCUUUGUGAAUAAACUAAAGUUUUGCUGGUGGUGGCACAGGAAAAAAAUGAAGAAACCAAGAGGACUUGAACCAAGUGGGUAUGACUCCAAAGCCCAUGCUUUAAAUGAACAAAUUGGCCUACCCUCUAAGGCAAGAACCCUUUAAUAGUGGUCUAUGUCAGAAAAAUAUCAAAAAGACUCAAGGCUCUUAAAUAAAUAAGGAAAUGAAUGACCUGCAUCAAAGUCUAAUUACGCCUAGGCCAGUUACCCACCCAGCCAGGUCUCCUUGUACAUACACAAUGGGGGUGAUAUUGCCCCCACAAGGAAUGAAAAUUCAUUUUGGGGAUGAGGCAAAAAAUUGUAUUCUUUUUCAUAUUAGCAUAGAUAUAUAAUGUAUCUAUGGCAUGAAAAUUUCAUGGGUGGGCAAUUAGGAGGAAAAAAAGGGUCAC
rnacentral:lncRNA from 1 species